GGUCCUCAGAUGUUGUUGAACUAUAACUCCCAUCACCCCUAGCCAGCAAGCUCAGAGCUCAGGGAUGAUGGGAGUUGUAGUUCAACAACAUAUGGGGACCCA
rnacentral:miRNA from 1 species